AGAGCCUCUCAGGGCCCCAAGACUCCAGGAAGAAACAAGUAUUGUAGAAGCCAAAACCCCAAGGCAAGAUGAGGAAACUGAGGCCCCACGUGGUGAAGACAAUUUUUACCCGAAUCCACCCACAACAAGAGACCAUUUGGAUAAUGUACAUUAUGGGAAGAGAACAGAGUCUCAGUGAAGAUCAUGUUUCCCCAGCAACACAGGUGCCAGGAGUAGCUGGCUCUGGUCCCAGCCCAGACUCAGAAAUCCUGAGCCACCAGACCAUUUCUAGAUUAACAAGUAAGGUGACUUCUGAGCAACUAAUGUUUUCAUUGAGAUUUGAUGAUAAGCAGCAAAGCUCAAAUGAAAGUCCAGAGUUAGUGUUGGCAGGGCGAGAUGGCUCAUGCCUGUAAUCCCAGCACUUUGGGAGGCUGAGGUGGGAGGAUCACUUGAGCCCAGGAGUUUGAGACCAGCCCGAGCUAUAUAGUGAGACCCUAUCUCUACAAAAAAUACAAAAAUUAGCUGGGCGUAGUUGUGCGUGCCUGUAGUUCUAACUACUCAGGAGGCUGACAGGGGAUGAUCGCUUAAACCCAAGAUAUCGAAGCUGCAAUGAGUUGAGAUUGCACCACUGCACUCCAGCCUGGACGGCAGAAUGAAACCUUGUCUAAAACACACACACACACACACACACACACACACACACACACACACACACACACACACACACAGAGUAUUGAUUACAGCGCUAUACCAGGUUCUAGUGUUGAGUAAGGGACAGGGAGGAGCAAUCUGUAAAGAAAUAGAGUCUCACUGGAAUUUCAUUCUUCAUUAUUUCAUACCCUUCACUUUUUCUAGACGCUAACCCCAUAUGAUACUAAAAAGUAUCUGUAUUGCAUCAGACGACGUAUCUGUGAAGUCAGAGAAUUGUGCUUUAAGAAUCUCUCAAGAGGAGAACAUAUAUUGGGCUUUCAUAAUACCAAUAACAUUUUACAUCAUGCUUCAUUUACAAGCUAUUUUCACACAUAUCACUCUAUUUAAUCUUCACAACUUGGUGAGAUAAACAAAGUAUUAUUUUCAGUAUAAUUUUCUGGAUGAGAAAAUUAUAGCUUAGAGAAGUUGUGUCUUGCACGAGAUCACAAAGCUAAUUAAGUGGAAAGGUUACUUAACAUUAACUACAAACCAGAUCUUCCACCAAGCCUUUUCCCCACCACAGGGCUUUGCUGGUUGGGGAGAAAUUGUCAUUUGGUCCCAGAACACACUUGAAGGCCACUGCCUUAAGCAACCCUUUGAGUAACAAGGAAGAAAGUAUUCCCGUAGGUCAUAAAUACUGCUUUACUAACUUCCUA
rnacentral:lncRNA from 1 species